GGGGGAUUGGCGCAACGGUAGCGCGUUCGACUCCAGAUCGAAAGGUUGCGUGUUCAAAUCACGUAUCCCUCA